AUGAAAUCCUGAGAGGAUAAAACAAUAGGUUAUUAAUGACAAAACAAUGCAGAUAUUUCAGAAAUGUGCUGCAUUCAUUUUCUUUGAACCGGUUUGUUAUAGAGGCUUUAUAGACCUAGAUUAUUUAUUUUUUUACAUUAAUGCACACAGGUAGUAGACCACUCUAACCAGUUCGCGCACUACGAUUUAGAAAGUGAGAAAGAAACACAAAAGAACAUUGUGUGGUUGUCUACGUGUCUCAAUUUUGUGUGCAAGCGUGCACGUGUGUGUGCACGUGGCGAGGUUGAAGGUGACUUUGGGAGUUAAUAGCUUUAACCAGAGGGUUGUGCGGUCUCUUUUUCCGUCUCCUUCCUCAAACUCGGGGUGAAUAUAUGAAGCCUGUGCAUGUCAAGUGCUAUUGCCGUCAAACGUGCUUGACUGCAGCGUACGAUCUGAAGAGAGGCUGUGCGGAGCGCCAAGGAAAAGUGGCCUGUCACCUGUGAUUUUGUCGAUGUGCUAAAGCAUGGCGGUAAUGAGGAGAUGAAGGCUGCAGAAGCGAUACUGAAGCGAUGAAGCACACACACUCACACAACAAGGUGAUGAAGUUUGGCAUCCUGGCUUGUGUGGAGAUCUCCCCUUCUACUUAACACUUUUUGAUGCAAGCAGGCAUGGUGUUGGUGGAAAUGGAGAUGAAGACAGUGGACAGAGCUAUUGAAAGCAAGCAGCAGGAGUUAAGUGGAACAAAUACAAUCCCUAUUUUUGUUUCUUCACAAACAGCAGAGCCAGCAGACUGUGGAUGGAGCCCCUGCAGAACAGAAGGAUUACUGUCAGUGUCUCACCUCUAAGGCAUAGCAUGCCCAAAUCCUUAGAGCAACUUUGGAGCAAAUUUAUUAAUGUGAUUUACAUAAAGUUAAACUUCCCACAUGCAGCCAAGGAGGGCAUUCUAAAAUAAGCUGUGGUGACAGAGCCAAUGUGUUAUGUGUGUCAGGCCCGGGGCAGGGGGGUCUCCCAGGGGAGCGCUGGCCUGGAAAUGACACAGAGUGAGGGAAGAGCCCAGAUGCAGGGGAAUCAGUCAUCUCAUCUGCUGGGGCGCCAAAAGGACAAAGAUGCAUUACCGGAGCUACGGACACAAACACAUGAUAUUUCAGACAUAUAGGUGUAAAGGUGAUUUUAGAGAGGGAUUAGGGAGAAGAGAUGAUGCAAGGGCACUUACAGUAUGCUUUCAGUACCAUGAACACUUUAUAUUUUCAGAGGCACUGUGGUAGCUAUAUUUUCCACAGCACUUAUUUACAGAAAGGAGCAUUAUCUAUGACCAUUUUCCAUCUGCUAUAUUGAGGAUUUCUUACAAACAAAUUGUCUUUCCAAGAUGUUUUAUGUAUAACUAGGUAAUAACAUGUCAAAUAUAACAACAAGGGGCCAAAGACAGCAAUGAAACUAAAAUUACUUAUAUAUAGUGAUAUAUUAUGAUGAAAUAGUCAUCCAUAGAGCUGUCAUGUCAUAGUUGGCUGAAAAUAGCCAUGUAUACCGCAAGUUCAAUAUUUUCUCCAACAUCUUGACAGAAUCGUGAUCUGAAACUAAACUGACACCUUUUUGAUAGAAUCUAUUUUGAGAAUCUAUGAUGGAAUCUCUGGAGAGCUGAAGUGAUAGAAGAGGAGGAACACAAUCCAGUGUCAAAUGGAACACGAGGUGAAGAAGAAUUUUUCCCUCCGGAGCCACACAGAAUUCCCUGGAACAUUUUAACAGGGCCAUGGCACGCAACAAGCCACAUUUGGACCUGUAAAAAGCAUGAUCUUAGCAAUCAGGCACAUGCAACAUGCCACAAAGAGAAAGAAAAGUGCCAUGGGUAUUAACAACACCACAGACCCCAUGUGCCCCAUGCAUGCCUCCACUGUUACCAACCACAACUGUGAAAUUACCAGAAUGCCUUUCCACGUAACUGUGAAAAGGUGAAAAAGCUAAAUUGUCAACACCUAGUUUUAACUCGAGACCCCAAAGACAACUGUUACCGAGUCAGAAAGCCAUCCGAGAAUGAGAGCAGGAAGGAAGGAUUCAUUUAACCGUGUCAGGAAUGUUUCAUCUUAAUUACCUCACUGCUAGCCAAGCAAAUCUGAUUGGCCGUUCCUGACAGGAAAUUCAUAGUGCGAUAUUAAUUACUUCUGCAGGAUCCAUUCUAUAUUUAAUAUGCAGGGUGCAUGCCAGUCAUUACCAGCCUGUGUUUCAGCCUGGCCUGCAUGUCAGCAGUAAUCAAAUCUAAACGUUAACAACAGCACGUUCACCAAUCAAUAGGGAGGGGGGGGGCAUUUACAGCACGAUAUUCAUUUAUUCUUUCAUGUGUGUUUGUCUCUCUACACCAUGUCGUAAACCCUGUUAACACAUCUCACAACCCUGUUCUUAUUCCCCCAAUAUGACCGUGUUUCUCUUUUGCAUCACGUUUAACAUAAGCCUACUUUGCCGUUUUAAAUAUUAUUCAGUCCACACACAUGUAAUAUUUUUUAUUCAUCCUUUAUCAAACAUCACUGCUGGUUAGGUUUGCAACAUUCUGGUGACUUUCUGGUUUUCCAGAAAUCCUGGUUGGAGGAUUCUGGAUUUCCUGCUUAUUCCCGCCUGAAUCUUCCAACGGGAUUUCUGGAAGAUUUGGUAAAGUUACUGGAAUUUUGCAACCCUUGUGCUGGUAUAUAACAGAUUAUUUCUACAUAUAAAUUUGACAUGGUUUCUUCUGUGAACUU